GUGUGCUUUCUUUCUUAGAGCCAGCUUACCCUAUGCUACCAUGAGUCCUGCAAAUGGCAGUGGAGGAAUACAAUGAGGUAAAACCUGACAUCGCAUUUUGGGACAUCUCAAACUGUGUGGAUCUCGUGUGGUGGAACGGAACGAAUAAACCUGGACCCUUGCUUCUUCUCACUCACGACUGGUGUCUUAUUUUUCUUUCUCCAAUUGAAUAUAAGGAGUUGCUGACUUCCUCUUCUGCAAGAGAUGUAAUCAGCUGUAACCAAGAGGAGACCGGCUCACUGUUUUUGUUGAGCACCCUCCUACAGUACCAUCAGAAUGUACAGUUCCUUUUUUCCAAUGGCGAGACAAUUUCACAACAACAACGAACAUAAUGCCAUCUCUGUUUUCAUCACUAGUUAUUGUUAUGGGAGCAAUGAAGUGAGGAAACGUAAUGUCAUGUUUUUACUAUUAUAUCAACAACCAUUUUGAAUAUCAACUAGUUUCACCGCAGUAAGCCUCAGUGCACUUUGCCUGUGCAGCUGACUGCUGUCCAAAACACCAUGUUUCUUUUGAAAUAUCUAUCUAUCUAUCUAUCUAUCUAUCUAUCUAUCUAUCUAUCUAUCUAUCUAUCUGUCUGUCUAUCUAUCUAUCUAUCUAUCUAUCUAUACCUUUAUGCUAUGUAAUUUGUUAGCCCCUUCUAUCCUGGGGCCAUUGCUGAGUACGUAAUAUUUUUGGUGAAGAACUAUUAUCAGUAUAGCCAUAACACCGAUGUACUAUCAUGGCACAUGUGAAUUGUAUCAAGAGGAACAGUGUUCUUGAGGUUUUUAAACACCUCAGUGCAGCUACCUGGUUGAGAAACAGACCACCAACCAAAAUAUAGCCAAGAGCAAAAUAUCUCACCUUUGGUCAAAAAGUGACAUCGAUGAUGGAUUAGACCAUAAUUAACAUAAAGCAUGUGUGGAAAGUUAGCAUCUAACUGUUCAUCUACAAAGUGAAUGAACAAAAUAAGGUGUAUGUAAUAAGGUGGACAGUAAGUUUGUAAAGUGAAGGGUCAAUGCAAAUCAUAUUCUAUGAUUAAAUAUUUCGAUCCUGAUAGGCAUGCUCUCUUCCAGGAUGAUUUGUCCACAGGGCAUAAGGACUCUCUGACUGGUCUGAUGAGUAUGAAAAUGAUUUCAAUCAUGUACUGUGGCCUACAUAAUGAACAGAUCUCAACACAGCUGAAUACUUAUGGGAGAUUUUGGAGUGUUGCUAGACUGCACUCUCUAUCACCGUAAUCAAAACACCAACUGAGGGAAUAUGGUUUGGAAGAAUGGCUUUCUCGGCUUUAGUACCGUUCCAGAAACCUAUACCUUCUGUUCUAGUGGCUUGUUGUGGACCAACACCUUUCUAAGACACUUUAUGUUGAAAUUCUUUAUGUUGAAAACAUCCUGUUCCAGAGAAACAGGAUGUUUCAGACAAAUAUCCUUCCUGCAUAAUGAGUUAAUAGUUGUCAAAACAUGACAUUCAUUCCAUGGGUUCCCAGAGUUUCAAGGGUGUAGAUGAGCUCUUUUUCAUUAAAAUUCCCAUGAAAUGGCUUGAGAGCCAUGAUUUGAUUCCGUAAGUUCAUGAACUUGCUUUUGAGACAGGAUGUCAGAUUGAUCUCGUGCUGAAGUGCUGACUAAUUUACACAAACACCAAUAGUGUUCAAGAUACACCAAAUAGUUACUGAAUCUAAACAAAGUUUGACAGUAGCCUAGGGAAUUAUGUAAAUAUGGAGAACAGUGAAGAGUUUAACAAGAAUUUGGGGGAUUUCUCACCACUGCUUUGACCCACUUCUGUUGAAUUAUCAAGGAUGCUAUCCUAGAUAAUGAGAUGCCAUGCAUUUUUGGAGUUAUGCCAUAUAUGUUGGUGCCAGGGUCGAGUGUCAGCAACUAAACUCCAACCAUUUUUUUCUUUAACCAAGGGAAAAGGGUUGUAGUGUGUAGGAAGACACAGCCAAAAGCACAUCAGUGAAAAAACUAAUUCAUGGAUUGAUGUAUCUAAAUUAAGGGCAGAAUGUUUACUUAAGAAAAAUAUGUAAGUUCAACAAAAAAGUUAAAAGGUAAAUAAUGGCAGGUUUAAGUUAAACUCAUUAAACAGAAAUACGUACAUUUACAAACUUAAUUUAAUGUCAUUUUGUAUAAGACACACUUUACUGAAGUGUAAAUUCUGGCCUUAAUUUAAAUACAUUAGUUUUUCCAGUGCACUGACCAACCAUGUUUACUGCUAACAAGCUUCUAGAACAGUGGUCACCAAC